UGAAAAAGGUGAUUUAUGUUUAGUUUUGUUAUUGGUUAAUGAUGUAAAGUUAGGUUAUGUCAAGGUUGUUAACCUAUAUUACAUGCUGAUGAGUACGCUAAAUUCAAUUGAUGGGGUUCCUCGAACACCGGAAGCCAGCUCUCCUGUGAUUCCAGUUUGGAAACCAGACUUGUACAGGAUACAGCAGGAGGCUCCACGGCCCAGAGCUGUCGUGUGUGGCUGGUCGGUAGCUCACACGCCUCCUGAGUACGGGAAUGUCUUUCACGGAGCUCUGUCUCAUGGAGAAGCUGCCUCCAUCCUGAGCCAAGACGGAGAUUACUUGGUGCGCCUCAGUGGUCACAUCUACACACUUUCACUCAGGUUCAAAGGCAAGGUGAAACAUUACAAACUGUACUAUGAUGGUCAGCACUAUGUCAAGGACAAGAGGUUUGGGACUCUGGCAGAACUGGUUGCUGAUGGGUUGCUUACUCUGCAUAUGGAGUGUGAAGCAGGCCCUUACAUAGUCCUCAUGUCCGACAUGGUCAGGUAUGAGCACAGCCCAGCUUACCUCACACUGAACCGACUGAAGAAGAAAGCACAGCAGCAGCAGAUUGAGCAGGUGGACUAUGACAAAUCGCAUGCAUUCAAGACACACACAUUCAAGGGACUCAACUGGUGCGAAUUCUGUGGGAACUUCUUGUGGGGCUUUACUGCACAAGGAGUCAAAUGUGACGAUUGUGGGUUCAGCGCUCAUGGCAAGUGUAGCGAGAAGUUACCUGCUGACUGCUGUCCUGACCUCAAGAAUUUACGAGGGGUAUUCGGCAUCGACCUGACCACGCUGGUGAAGGCCCACCAUUCCGUGCGGCCAUUUGUUGUGGAUAAGUGCGUUCGGGAGAUAGAGGCUCGGGGGCUGCGCACCGAGGGGCUCUACCGUGUGUCCGGCUUUGCGGACGAGAUGGAUUCUCUCAGGAUGGCCUUGGACAGGGAUGGUGAGAAUGCAGACAUCAGUGCUGAAGUAUAUGACAACAUCAAUGUGAUCGCGGGAAUACUCAAACUUUACCUCCGAUUACUGCCCCUGCCUCUCAUCACGUACGAGGCACACCCCGCCAUGAUCAGGGCCACUCAAAAAUCGAGUCUCCUACAGCAGGUAGCAGGAGUGAAGGAUGCCCUCACUUUACUACCUCCCGCACACUUCAACACCCUUAAAUACCUUCUUGCGCACCUCACAAGGUAGGUAGGCAAAGCUAUGUUCAUGAAGUCAGAACCUGUUUACAGAAAAAUCGAGUCUCCUACAGCAGGUAGCAGGAGUGAAGGAUGCCCUCACUUUACUACCUCCCGCACACUUCAACACCCUUAAAUACCUUCUUGCGCACCUCACAAGGUAGGUAGGCAAAGCUAUGUUCAUGAAGUCAGAACCUGUUUACAGAAAAAUCGAGUCUCCUACAGCAGGUAGCAGGAGUGAAGGAUGCCCUCACUUUACUACCUCCCGCACACUUCAACACCCUUAAAUACCUUCUUGCGCACCUCACAAGGUAGGUAGGCAAAGCUAUGUUCAUGAAGUCAGAACCUGUUUACAGAAAAAUCGAGUCUCCUACAGCAGGUAGCAGGAGUGAAGGAUGCCCUCACUUUACUACCUCCCGCACACUUCAACACCCUUAAAUACCUUCUUGCGCACCUCACAAGGUAGGUAGGCAAAGCUAUGUUCAUGAAGUCAGAACCUGUUUACAGAAAAAUCGAGUCUCCUACAGCAGGUAGCAGGAGUGAAGGAUGCCCUUACUUUACUACCUCCCGCACACUUCAACACCCUUAAAUACCUUCUUGCGCACCUCACAAGGUAGGUAGGCAAAGCUAUGUUCAUGAAGUCAGAACCUGUUUACAGAAAAAUCGAGUCUCCUACAGCAGGUAGCAGGAGUGAAGGAUGCCCUCACUUUACUACCUCCCGCACACUUCAACACCCUUAAAUACCUUCUUGCGCACCUCACAAGGUAGGUAGGCAAAGCUAUGUUCAUGAAGUCAGAACCUGUUUACAGAAAAAUCGAGUCUCCUACAGCAGGUAGCAGGAGUGAAGGAUGCCCUCACUUUACUACCUCCCGCACACUUCAACACCCUUAAAUACCUUCUUGCGCACCUCACAAGGGUGGUGGAGAAUGAACCGUAUAACAAAAUGACAUCCCAGAACCUGAGCACCGUGUUUGCCCCCACUCUGAUGCCCCCGCCAGACCUCUCCAAGAGCCCCACCUCACUGCCCGACAUGACCAACGAGAUAUGG
rnacentral:misc_RNA from 1 species